rnacentral:ncRNA from 1 species
UACCUGGUUGAUUCUGCCAGUAGUCAUAUGCUUGUCUCAAAGAUUAAGCCAUGCAUGUCUAAGUAUAAGCAAUCUAUACGGUGAAACUGCGAAUGGCUCAUUAAAUCAGUUAUCGUUUAUUUGAUAGUACCUUACUACUUGGAUAACCGUGGUAAUUCUAGAGCUAAUACAUGCUAAAAACCUCGACUUCGGAAGGGGUGUAUUUAUUAGAUAAAAAACCAAUGCCCUUCGGGGCUCCUUGGUGAUUCAUAAUAACUUAACGAAUCGCAUGGCCUUGUGCCGGCGAUGGUUCAUUCAAAUUUCUGCCCUAUCAACUUUCGAUGGUAGGAUAGUGGCCUACCAUGGUUUCAACGGGUGACGGGGAAUUAGGGUUCUAUUCCGGAGAGGGAGCCUGAGAAACGGCUACCACAUCCAAGGAAGGCAGCAGGCGCGCAAAUUACCCAAUCCCGACACGGGGAGGUAGUGACAAUAAAUACUGAUACAGGGCUCUUUUGGGUCUUGUAAUUGGAAUGAGUACAAUUUAAAUCCCUUAACGAGGAACAAUUGGAGGGCAAGUCUGGUGCCAGCAGCCGCGGUAAUUCCAGCUCCAAUAGCGUAUAUUAAAGUUGUUGCAGUUAAAAAGCUCGUAGUUGAACCUUGGGCCUGGUUGGCCGGUCCGCCUCACCGCGUGCACUGGUCCGACCGGGUCUUUCCUUCUGGGGAGCCGCAUGCCCUUCACUGGGUGUGUCGGGGAACCAGG